AUUGAACGCUGGCGGCAGGCCUAACACAUGCAAGUCGAGCGGAUGAAGGGAGCUUGCUCCUGGAUUCAGCGGCGGACGGGUGAGUAAUGCCUAGGAAUCUGCCUGGUAGUGGGGGAUAACGUCCGGAAACGGGCGCUAAUACCGCAUACGUCCUGAGGGAGAAAGUGGGGGAUCUUCGGACCUCACGCUAUCAGAUGAGCCUAGGUCGGAUUAGCUAGUUGGUGGGGUAAAGGCCUACCAAGGCGACGAUCCGUAACUGGUCUGAGAGGAUGAUCAGCCACACUGGAACUGAGACACGGUCCAGACUCCUACGGGAGGCAGCAGUGGGGAAUAUUGGACAAUGGGCGAAAGCCUGACCCAGCCACGCCGCGUGUGUGAAGAAGGUCUUCGGAUUGUAAAGCACUUUUAGUAGGGAAGAAGGGAAGUAAGUUAAUACCUUGCUGUUUUGACGGUACCAAAAGAAUAAGCACCGGCUAACUUCGUG
rnacentral:rRNA from 1 species